GCCUCGGUGGUGAAAUGGUAGACACGCAAGACUCAAAAUCUUAUGGUAAAGAGUGUGGAGGACCGAGUCCUUUUCAAGGCA
rnacentral:tRNA from 1 species